GUGUCAGCCGCCGCGGUAAUACGUAGGGUCCGAGCGUUAAUCGGAAUUAUUGGGCGUAAAGAGUGCGCAGGCGGAUAUACAAGAUAGAUGUGAAAUCCUUGAGCUUAACUUGAGAACUGCAUAUAUGACUGUAAAUCUAGAGUGUGUCAGAGGGGGGUAGAAUUCCAUGUGUAGCAGUGAAAUGCGUAGAGAUGUGGAGGAAUACCGAUGGCGAAGGCAGCCCCCUGGGACGAUACUGACGCUGAGGCACGAAAGCGUGGGGAGCAAACAGGAUUAGAAACCCGGGUAGUCC
rnacentral:rRNA from 1 species